rnacentral:rRNA from 1 species
UUAAUCGGAAUUACUGGGCGUAAAGCGCACGCAGGCGGUCUGUCAAGUCGGAUGUGAAAUCCCCGGGCUCAACCUGGGAACUGCAUUCGAAACUGGCAGGCUUGAGUCUUGUAGAGGGGGGUAGAAUUCCAGGUGUAGCGGUGAAAUGCGUAGAGAUCUGGAGGAAUACCGGUGGCGAAGGCGGCCCCCUGGACAAAGACUGACGCUCAGGUGCGAAAGCGUGGGGAGCAAACAGGAUUAGAUACCCUGGUAGUCCACGCCGUAAACGAUGUCUACUUGGAGGUUGUGCCCUUGAGGCGUGGCUUCCGGAGCUAACGCGUUAAGUAGACCGCCUGGGGAGUACGGCCGCAAGGUUAAAACUCAAAUGAAUUGACGGGGGCCCGCACAAGCGGUGGAGCAUGUGGUUUAAUUCGAUGCAACGCGAAGAACC